rnacentral:tRNA from 1 species
GGGUGGUUAGCUCAGUCGGUAGAGCAGCGGACUUUUAAUCCGUUGGUCGCGAGUUCGAAUCUCGCACCUCCUACCA